GACCUGGUGGUGUAACUGGUAACACUCCUGCUUUCACUACACUGUAAUAGUUAGAUUAGGCGGGAGCUCCUGUUCGAUUCGGGGUCAGGUUG